rnacentral:rRNA from 1 species
CCUACGGGGAGCUGCAGUGGGGAAUAUUGGACAAUGGGCGAAAGCCUGAUCCAGCCAUGCCGCGUGUGUGAAGAAGGCCUUCGGGUUGUAAAGCACUUUCAGUGGGGAAGAAAGCCUUGGGGCUAAUACCCUCGAGGAAGGACAUCACCCACAGAAGAAGCACCGGCUAACUCCGUGCCAGCAGCCGCGGUAAUACGGAGGGUGCGAGCGUUAAUCGGAAUUACUGGGCGUAAAGCGCGCGUAGGCGGUCUGAUAAGCCGGUUGUGAAAGCCCCGGGCUCAACCUGGGAACGGCAUCCGGAACUGUCAGGCUAGAGUGCAGGAGAGGAAGGUAGAAUUCCCGGUGUAGCGGUGAAAUGCGUAGAGAUCGGGAGGAAUACCAGUGGCGAAGGCGGCCUUCUGGACUGACACUGACGCUGAGGUGCGAAAGCGUGGGUAGCAAACAGGAUUAGAAUACCCGGGUAGUC